rnacentral:miRNA from 14 species
GUAUUAACACUGAGGUUGAUGU